CAACUCUGAGCGGUGGAUCACUCGGCUCGUGUGUCGAUGAAGAGCGCAGCCAACUGUGUGAAUUAAUGUGAACUGCAUACUGCUUUGAACAUCGACAUCUUGAACGCACAUUGCGGCCAUGGGUUAGCUCAUGGCCACGCCUGUCCGAGGGUCGGCU
rnacentral:rRNA from 2 species